AGCGUCUCACGACAGUAAGAGACGGCAUGUGUAGCGGUGAAAUGCGUAGAGAUGCGGAGGAAUACCGAUGGCGAAGGCAGCCCCCUGGGAUGACACUGACGCUCAUGCACGAAAGCGUGGGGAGCAAACAGGAUUAGAUACCCUGGUAGUCCACGCCCUAAACGAUGUCAACUAGCUGUUGGGGGUUUGAAUCCUUGGUAGCGUAGCUAACGCGAGAAGUUGACCGCCUGGGGAGUACGGCCGCAAGGUUAAAACUCAAAGGAAUUGACGGGGACCCGCACAAGCGGUGGAUGAUGUGGAUUAAUUCGAUGCAACGCGAAAAACCUUACCUGGUCGUGGACAUGUACAGAACUUC
rnacentral:rRNA from 1 species